GAUGAACGCUAGCGACAGGCUUAACACAUGCAAGUCGAGGGGCAGCAUAAGGGUAGCAAUACCUUGGUGGCGACCGGCGCACGGGUGAGUAACGCGUAUGCAACUUACCUAUCAGAGGGGAUAACCCGGCGAAAGUCGGACUAAUACCGCAUAAAACAGGGGCCCCGCAUGGGGCUAUUUGUUAAAGAUUCAUUGCUGAUAGAUAGGCAUGCGUUCCAUUAGAUAGUUGGUGAGGUAACGGCUCACCAAGUCUGUGAUGGAUAGGGGUUCUGAGAGGAAGGUCCCCCACACUGGUACUGAGACACGGACCAGACUCCUACGGGAGGCAGCAGUGAGGAAUAUUGGUCAAUGGGCGAGAGCCUGAACCAGCCAAGUCGCGUGAAGGAUGAAGGUUCUAUGGAUUGUAAACUUCUUUUAUUGGGGAAUAAAGUGCUUCACGUGUGGAGUUUUGUAUGUACCCAUUGAAUAAGCAUCGGCUAACUCCGUGCCAGCCGCCGCCGUAA
rnacentral:rRNA from 1 species